rnacentral:rRNA from 1 species
UGAAACACGGACCAAGGAGUCUAACCCGUGCGCGAGUCAAAGGGCUGGCUAAACCCCAAGGCGAAACGAAAGUGACGGCGCUCGGACGGCUGGCCGGCGGCGCGGUUCUUUUUUGAGCCGCGUUUAGCCGCCGCCGACGACGCGUCCAUGGCCCGAUCCGUCCGCCCAGUAGGUUGUCCUGGCGGCAGUCCGAACAAGCGACGGCGCAGGGCCGGGGCUCGUCAUCUCCUUCGCGUUUCCGCGGCGGUUGGUUUUAUCGCGGGGGCGGCGAGGAAAAGGCGACGCUCGAGCGGCGAACGAGCGGCGGCGGCGCGGGGUUAGGUUUCUGCGACCCUCCACCUUCGUCGUCGUCGAAACCGGCGCCAAUCACGUCGUCGUACUACUCGUGGUCGUCGUGGUAAUGCAUGCCAGCGUCGUACAGGGGCGCGUUGGGCGGCGAGUACCUUGAGCGCACGUGUUAGUACCCGAAAGAUGGUGAUCUAUGCCUGGCGAGGAUGAAGCCAGGGGAAACCCUGGUGGAGGUCCGUAGCGAUUCUGACGUGCAAAUCGAUCGUCGGAGCUGGUA